ACAAACGAUCUCCUUUCUCUCCAAGGUUUCACUCUGACCAAAUGAAUGCAACUGACUGGAGAAGUAUUCAAUUACAUAGCUAUACAGAACCACAUAAAAUCACAAGUCUAGAGACGUUAAGGGGAGAAGUCAAGGUUCAGGCACCGGGAUGGGAUUUCUGGAAGGCCCUUCUGCACCCUAGGACCUGUACUGGAACCCAGAGCUGGAAUUCCCACAUCUUCUCCACUUGGUUCACUGGUCAAAUAUAUAUGACUUCUUACAGAUGGUAUUUCACCUAAGGCACCAUGCAAGUUCAAACAAAUAAAAAGCAACAGAAUGAAACCCUUGAAAUGCACUGAGAAACUGAACUCUUAAGUCUACUACAUCAUCGGGCAGCUGGCUAAAGUAAUUCAUCUAAUGCAAAAGUAUGCUUUGUUAUAAAGUGAACAAAAUAUGGAGCAGUAUCUACAGGAGGCUACAGAGUCCAGGAGAGUGAUGGGCACAUCUUGAAGAUGGACAAGAUUAUAUAUUACAGAGAAAGAGCUAUUAGAAAGACAGUGAAAAACACUCAACUGACAACAAUCAAGAACUUCCAACCUGCAAAGCACUACUUUAGAGGAACAAGACAGAAGAGGACAGAUGUGGUUCCGAAAUGUAGAGUCACGGUCAUGAGUCCCCCAGCACAGAGAGAUACCCAAAUGACAAUGCCAUAAUGAAAGACUUAAUCACC